rnacentral:rRNA from 1 species
GACGACGCUGGCGGCGUGGAUUAGGCAGUGCAAGUCGAACGGUAGGAUCCUUUCGGGGAUCUGAGAGUGGCGAACGGGUGAGUAACACGUAGGUGAUCUACCCUCAAGACGGGGACAACCCAGGGAAACUUGGGCUAAUACCGGAUGCGAGCUAUCGCGGGAUAGUUUGAAAGGUGGCUUCGGCUGCCGCUUGAGGAUGAGCCUGCGUCCUAUUAGCUAGUUGGUGAGGUAACGGCUCACCGAGGCAGUGAUAGGUAGGCGGCCUUAACGGGUGGUCGCCCACACUGGGAUUGAGAUACGGCCCAGACUCCUACGGGAGGCAGCAGUCGAGAAUAGUCUACAAUGGUCGAAAGACUGAUAGUGCGACGCCGCGUGAACGAAGAAGCCCUUCGGGGUGUAAAGUUCUUUUAUAUGUGAGCAGUGACACCCAUAUUAAUAGUAUGGGUGUAGAGAUAUUAGCAUAUGAAUAAGCAACGGCUAACUCCGUG